ensembl:misc_RNA Metazoa_SRP Metazoan signal recognition particle RNA
GCUGGGUAUAGUGGUGGGUACCUGUAAUCCCAGCUACUCAGGAGGCUGAGGUGGGAGAAUCGCUUGAACCCAGGAGGUGGAGGUUGCAGUAAGCCAAGAUCAUGCCACUGCACUCCAGCCUGGGUGACAGAGCGAGACUCCAUCUCAA